rnacentral:antisense_RNA from 1 species
GCAGUUGGUGGACCUGGUCGCGCUGUGCCGGGUGUGACACUACGGAGAGCAGAUUACAUAAUCAAAAGCACCAAGUUGAAACAUUUGCAAGGUAGGUGAGAAAAAAAGCAUUCGCCAACGUAUUUUGGAUUUUAUCAUUUUGACUUUAUUGCCUGUGGUCAGUUCUGCCAGUUUUUGUCUCCUUCUAAAAAUUGUUUCAAUCUGCUGAAUCUAUGGAAAUUUAAUAUUUUCCAUAGUGAAGGCUGAUAAGACAGCUGAGGAAGAAUUAAAAACAGAUGAUCUCUAAUUUAAGAAACAUUUGAUGCUAAUUACUUCUUACCUUUUCACACAACUUAAAUAUUGGUAAAUAUAUAGGAUUACAUUACUUUUUAAGUGAGAUUUUAAAGCUAAAUUGAUAAAGUAGAGAUCCAGUGAGAUAAUUAGAUGUUUGUACAAGAUUUGAAAAAUACGGACAUUCUUAGUCAUACAAAAAUACCAAAAAGCAUUGUGAUAAUUCACUUUUUCUUAUUCUAAUUUGUAACAGCAUUUUAAUAUGGUCAGUAGAAUGGUUUCAGCAUAUUUACAAUCUUAAAGUUUUUAACUAGAAAACAGUUUGAUGUCUAGAUCUGUUACUCAGCUACAUUUUAGAUUUAAAACUUAAUUUAAUUUUAUAGCUAAUUUAAUUUUAUAGUGAAUUUAAUUGUAUAGCAUGUAAGGCAGUUUACAUUUGAUUUAAUAAAAUUAACACUUAGGCUUUUAUGAUAGCUUACUAACUCAGAUAUCAGUGAUUUUCAGAAUGCAGAGAUUUUCAAACUGAAUUUUUUUUUAUCAUGAUGCUCUUGUGGCUAAGCUUAUAUUUGGGUUAUUUAUUCUUUACACACACACACAUACACACCAUAAUAUGAAAAAAGAAAGUCCGAAAGAAAAUAUACCAAUACAUUACUAUUUUUUGGACAGUGUAUAGAUUUGAGUGAUCUGUAGAACCUUCUUUAUUGUAUUAUACAGGCUGAAAUUUUUAAUUAUUACUUUAUAAUUCUGUAGAAUAUAGCUAUUUUCAUUUUCAAAAACAUAUAUAUGACAAUCCCAGUAUAGGUGAUACAUUGUUUUCACAAAAAUUUUAUAAUAAAUGUUGACAAUAAUUUUUUCCUAUCCUCUUGAAUCUGUAAAAACCUGCCAGAGCAAAUAUCCUGUUCUUUGCUUGGCAUUACUAAUUUGUUCAUGGUGUUGAUAUAAACCACUCAGUGGAAGUUACAGUGUAAUAACUGUAAACUGCAAGGGGUAUGUUAUGCUUAAAGGAUCCCAGGAAUGAUCCAAGACAAACCGCAAACAUGGUAAACAGAAAUUAUACCUCUGCAGGAUCUUAGGAUCCCUCUACACUGUUAACAAUUAUUGAAGACCCUUGCAAAGAACUUUGUUUAUGCAGGUUAUGUUGGUAUUUAUCAUAUUAGAAAUUGAAACAGAAAAAUUUAAAAAAUAUUUACUAAAUCAUUUAAAAACAAUGAAAACAUAUUACAUGUUAACAUAUGUAAUAUAGUUUUUCUGAAACAAAAUAAACAAAUAUGUAUGUAUACAUAUAUAGCAAGAAGAGUGGCACUGUUUUACAUUUUUAUAAAUGUCUUUAACAUAAGCCUUAAUAGAAGACAGCUGAAUUCUCUUACCUGCUUCUGCAUUCAAUUGGAUGCAAUAUGGUAUUUUGUUUAAAGUAAAAUCUGUCUUUACACAAAUAUGUAAUUAUAGAAGGAAGGAGUAUUUUAAUAACUUUUUCAGUUGAUUGUGGAUAUUCUUUAAUAUUACAGUGAAUCUCAACAAAUGAUAGUCUGUUACAGAUUAGUUGCAUUGUGAAAUCUGAAACCAUAUAAAUAAACUUUUCAGACUUUUGAACCUAGCCUGUUUCUUAAGGAAGAUUUCUGAAAGGUAUCUAACUUUUGCUUUAAAAAAAUAAAUUGUAAUAUUUAAAUCAUAAUAAGACAAUCUCAAGCACAUUCUGAAGGAUAUUUUAAGUUUACUUUUCAUCAAAGUUACUUUAUAAAAUAUUCAGGCACUGCUUAAGUCUCUGAUCCUGAUUUCUUAAUGUUUAGAUUAAUUGAGUUUAAAGUUUAUUAUUUAUUAGAUGUUCUAGCUCUUAAAGUCUUUGCUUUGUGACUUUCUGGAGGUAAGUUUUUGUAUAUUAAUUAAGCAGGUGUAAACAGCAUAGGAAAAAAUAAAGGUUUGAUUAGUGAUUUUUUGGCAUGGUGCUCCACUAUUCUAGAUUUCUGUUAAGUACAAAAGAAAGUAAUUUCCAAACAAAACCUUUGCUUGAGCUUUAGAACCGACAUACUGAUUUCAAAAAAA